rnacentral:rRNA from 1 species
GGGGAAUCUUGCGCAAUGCGCGAAAGCGUGACGCAGCAACGCCGCGUGGGGGAAGACGGCCUUCGGGUUGUAAACCCCUUUCAGGAGGGACGAAGCCGUGACCUUUAAUAGAGGAUCGCGGUGACGGUACCUCCAGAAGAAGCCCCGGCUAACUACGUGCCAGCAGCCGCGGUAAUACGUAGGGGGCAAGCGUUGUCCGGAAUCAUUGGGCGUAAAGCGCGUGUAGGCGGUCCGGUAAGUCGGUUGUGAAAGUCAAGGGCUCAACCCUUGAAUGCCGACCGAUACUGUCGGGCUAGAGUCCGGAAGAGGUGAGUGGAAUUCCUGGUGUAGCGGUGAAAUGCGCAGAUAUCAGGAGGAACACCAAUGGCGAAGGCAGCUCACUGGGACGGUACUGACGCUGAGACGCGAAAGCGUGGGGAGCAAAC